AGGCGGCAUGCCUUACCAUGCAAGUCGAACGGCAGCACGGGGGCAACCCUGGUGGCGAGUGGCGAACGGGUGAGUAACAUAUCGGAACGUGCCCUGGAGUGGGGGAUAACUAGUCGAAAGACUAGCUAAUACCGCAUACGAUCUACGGAUGAAAGUGGGGGAUCGCAAGACCUCAUGCUCGUGGAGCGGCCGAUAUCUGAUUAGCUAGUUGGUGGGGUAAAGGCCUACCAAGGCAUCGAUCAGUAGCUGGUCUGAGAGGACGACCAGCCACACUGGGACUGAGACACGGCCCAGACUCCUACGGGGGGCAGCAGUGGGGAAUUUUGGACAAUGGGCGCAAGCCUGAUCCAGCAAUGCCGCGUGAGUGAAGAAGGCCUUCGGGUUGUAAAGCUCGUUUGUCAGGGAAGAAACGGUUCGGGUUAAUACCUUGGGCUAAUGACGGUACCUGAAGAAUAAGCACCGGCUAACUACGUGCCAGCAGCCGCGGUAAU
rnacentral:rRNA from 1 species